GACGAACGCUGGCGGCGUGCCUAAUACAUGCAAGUCGAGCGAAGUUUUUCUGGUGCUUGCACUAGAAAAACUUAGCGGCGAACGGGUGAGUAACACGUAAAGAACCUGCCUCAUAGACUGGGACAACUAUUGGAAACGAUAGCUAAUACCGGAUAACAGUAUUUCUCGCAUGAGAGAUAUUUAAAAGUUGGUUAUGCUAACACUAUGGGAUGGCUUUGCGGUGCAUUAGCUAGUUGGUGGGGUAAAGGCCCACCAAGGCGACGAUGCAUAGCCGACCUGAGAGGGUGAUCGGCCACACUGGGACUGAGACACGGCCCAGACUCCUACGGGCGGCAGCAGUAGGGAAUCUUCCGCAAUGGGCGAAAGCCUGACGGAGCAACGCCGCGUGAGUGAAGAAGGAUUUCGGUUCGUAAAGCUCUGUUGUUAGGGAAGAAUGGAUAUGUAGUAACUAUACAUGUAAGAGACGGUACCUAACCAGAAAGCCACGGCUAACUACGUG
rnacentral:rRNA from 1 species